rnacentral:misc_RNA from 1 species
GAUGAAGAACGUAGCGAAAUGCGAUAAGUAAUGCGAAUUGCAGAAUUCAGUGAGUCAUCGAAUCUUUGAACGCACAUUGCGCCCUGUGGUAUUCCGCAGGGCAUGCCUGUUCGAGCGUCAUUUCAACCCUCAAGCCCCGCUUGGUGUUGGGCCCCGCCCGCCGUGGCCGGCCCUAAAGACAGUGGCGGCGCCGCCUGGCCCUCAGCGUAGUACAGCUCUCGCUCCAGGGUCCGGCGGCCGCCUGCCAGAACCCCCCCAACUCUGUGGUUGACCUCGGAUCAGGUAGGGAUACCCGCUGAACUUAAGCAUAUCAAUAAGGGAGGA